rnacentral:rRNA from 1 species
UACAGAGGCCCCGAGCGUUAUCCGGAAUCACUGGGCGUAAAGGGUGUCGAGGCGGUCAUGUUAGUCGUUCGUAAAAUCUACGAGCUCAACUUGUAGGCGGCGAACGAAACGGCAUGACUUGAGGUUGGGAGAGGUGCGUGGAACUCACGGUGUAGGGGUGAAAUCCGUUGAUAUCGUGGGGAACACCAAAGGCGAAGGCAGCGCACUGGCCCAAAUCUGACGCUCACACACGAAAGCUAGGGUAGCGAACGGG